GCCCGCCCGCCGCCUCCCUAUCCGGCGCGGCGCUCGGCGUGCAGGGGAGGCUCCUGCGGUCGCCGUACGCGGCGCGCGAGGUUGGGCAGCUCGGCGAGGCCGCGGCGCCUGCGUCCUCCCGGCGGUGAGUCUGUGGGGCCCGGCCAGGGUCGCCCACGUAACCUGCGGGGACCCGACCGGCGGGCCGCCUGGGCCGCAGUGCGCGCGGACGGGGAGGGAGGGGACAGCGAGAGGAGCGCACGCGGAGGCGCCGGGGGUCGGAGGAAGCUGGGAGUCGGGGGCUGCCGGCGGGCCUUCCGCAGGGUGAGCCCUUCCUCCCAUCUCCCAGCCCUCCCCGCAUGUUUCCGAAUAUCUGGGCAGAGCCGGCGAAGACCGCUGCCCGGCCCUCUUCCAGUGGACGCGGGGCCCAUCACCCAACUCCAGGCAGCCGGACUUCCCGCGUGGGGUCUGGGGAGGGACAGCCUGCCAGACUGGAGGAGGAAGCCGGGAACCUGGGGAGAGCCCCUGGCGGGAGGGGGAGAAUUAACUACCUGGGGGGUUGAUUACCUGGGGGCUGGAACCCGCCCUAGGGAGGGGGAGCGGAUGGCUUUGUUUUGACCUAGAUUAUGCAUGCGAAGGAGGUGCCUCCUGAGGUGGGCCACCUGGUCCCUGGAGGCCUGGACUGACUACCACUAGAUUCCUGGCUUUUCCAGAGACAGGGGAGCUGGGCCUGGGUCCCAGGGGCACUGCUCCCUGGGCCUGUUGGCUCCCUUUGGCUGCCUUUCCUUUGCCCAUUCAGAAACAUAGGUGUUCCCGGUCUCCACCCCAGUGGAUGCCUUUACUCAUCCCUGCAGGGCCUGCUUGGUCAGGUGCCCCCAGUGGGUGGGUGGGGAUGCCUGCUGGACCUGUUUGUCCCUGUGCAUGCCAGAGCUUCCUUGGAGACAGCUCAGGAUUCCUCCAUACCACAGCCUCACUUUAUGGAGGAAGAGCUUCUUCCUGCCUGGGCUGCCUGGUGGCAGGAACAGACGCGGCUGAGCUUGGCACUAACAUUGGCCAUCUGGGACUCCUGUUCCAGACUCUUAAGAUGUCAGUAGAGGUUCAAGCUGGAUGGGAGAGGCCUGGGGCCCAUUUGCACAAACCCGGCCUGCAGCUUUCCCUUCCAGAGUCUCCUGCGAAGACCUGCACCCCUUUAUCCCAGGGCCUCUGGGCCGCCUCUCCCCCACCAGGGCUGGUCUGAGUACCAGACUCCUUCUGCAAUUCUCCAGAGAAUCAAAACCCAGUUCCUUCUCCACCCAGUGCCACUGACCCCUGCCCAAGAGAGGACUCGUGGUGCAGGACAGCAGCCCAAAGGAGCCCCCCUGCUCUGCCCUAGCCACACUGUGCCUGUCCUGCUGUGUGUCAGCCUGGCCACAGGUGGCCACCUCACUGAGCCCUUCCCAGCCCCAGGUCUACCCUCAGGGGAGUGCAGACUCAAGGACCCAGCUGACCCUAGGAAAGCAGGGUGCUGAUUAGCUUGUAUCCUUAACCAACAUUUCCCCACCUCAGCGCGGGCAGCGAGGCCACUCCCUGGGCCUCUGUUUCUGUGGGAUUCCAAAAAUCUUGAUGGUAUCCUUCACCUGGGCUGCCCUCUAACACGGUGCAUCUCUCCCAGCAAGACAGGUGUCUUUGGCUUUGAGUUCCUGUGGACGGCCAUCUGUCCCCUCCAGCAUGAGGGUCUUCUUGCCGGUGCUGUUGGCUGCCCUUCUGGGUCUGGAGCCAGGUGCGAUGCCCUGGGCCCCGGACCUUCUCACAGACCAUGCCCUCCCCCGGCUCCCUCUCCCCGACCCCUGGGCGGUCAUUCAGUGGUCCUCCCAGGACAGCCUCUGUGGGACCUUCUGACUCCUCUUCCCCAGUGAAGCGAGGCACUUCUGCCUCCAGUGUUAGGGAAGCCUCAACACUGGCCAGGCCACACUGUUGUCACCCGUGUUUGGGGGUCACUUGAGCUCACCAGGGCCAGGGUCUGGUGUUAUUUGUCAUUGUCUUGUCUUGGUACCCAGCCCAGAGCCUGGUGUGUAAUUGUUGCUCAGUAAAUGCCCACAGCUGGUUAAGUACAGAGGGCAGGCCUGGGAGGCACACUGGAGGCCGCCUCCCGCAGGAGGCAGGUGUCACCCAGUGUCCCUCCUUCUGCAGUGCACUCUCUGGUGUGCUUCUCCUGCGUCAACCAGAACAGCAAUCUCUACUGUCUGAAGCCCACCGUCUGCUCCUCUUCUGACAACUACUGUGUGACUAUAUCUGCCUCUGCUGGCAUUGGUGAGUGCUGGCCAGGAGCACCUCAGCCUCGCCCACCCGACCCCUUGGCUGUCUCCCAUGGCCAGUGCGACCCCUCACAGUCUGGUUUUCCUGCAGGGAAUGUCGUGGACUUUGGACACACCCUGAACAAGGGCUGCUCCCCCAUCUGCCCUGGUCCUAGCGUCAAUCUCGGCGUGGCGUCUGUGGGCACCCACUGCUGCCAGAGCUUCCUGUGCAAUUUCAGUGCCGCCGGCCGGGGACCGCGGGCCAGCACCGCACUGCUCGGCCUCGGGCUCCUGCUCAGCUUGCUCUCUGUUCUGCUGAGACUGGGCCCCUGACCUUCUGGACCUGAGUCCCCCAUGUCCCCCAGCUCAGGAAGAAAAGCCCCAUCCCUCGCAGAUCCCAGGAGGCUAUUGGAGCCUCCAGCUCCUUGGCGUGCCUGAUCCCCCCACCUUGGGCCAGAACCACCCCCUGCACCUACCCCUGCACAGCCCCUACCCCAUGUGGGGCCAGCCGCCCUCACUUCUGCAACCAAUUGUGUGACCUUUCUCAAGGAACCAGGACGGGAUGAGGGUUCCCCUGAAGUCUUAGGGUCCCCAAGGGCAGGACUGAGCCUUGUGGACACCAGAGGGACAUUUAAGCCAUCAGCCCUAGGCGCACUGAGUGUGGGGUGGUGGCAGACACCAGCGUUUUGUGAAUGUUUAGGUGCGAGUCCCUGGGAUGGUGUUGUGAGAGGGACAGGAGAGUCCCGGGCAGCAGCAGCCCCCGGAACCCUGAUUCACCAGACCCCCCCAUCUGCACCCACAUUGCACUCACUUCAGGGGUAGCCUUUAGGGGCGGGGGGCUCCCAGUGCUUCCAGGCAUGGGCUCCCAGCCCAGGUCCUGCUGAGCCCUGCCUGGCCCUCCUUGCUCCUGCACUGGCACCCCGCUGCUGCCUCAGUGCCUCAAUAAAACGUUGCCACCCCUCUUGACUACGGUAGUUGCCUCUCCAGCCGGCCUCUGAGUCCACCUCCCAGAGGCCCUCCUGGAAGCAGGAGCUGAGGUCCUCUGGUGUAGUCCUAGAUGGAGGCCCCAUGGGGCAGUAGAGGAGGAGGUCUCCAGGCCUGUGACCAGUGACCACUGCCAUGCCCUUUACCCUGCCCUGGAGUGAGGUCCAUUGAGUGGGUCUGCAUCCACAAGGCCAGGGGGAGGCCUGGGCAGCAGCCUGGGUUGAGGAGCUCUGAGAGUGGGGCCGCAGUCCCCAGGGCCUAUGGAGGAGCAGGAGACCCCACAGAAGGUGGGUCAGGCUGGUGCCCCCAGGAAGCAUGACCCCUGGCCAUGGCCUGUGCUAGGCUGAGCUCCUGGCUUAGGGCUAGUGAGGCGGCAGAGUUGCCUGUCAUCUUAGACAUGUCCCAAGUCUCCUGGACAGUGGCAGGGUCUCCUAGCCCUGCUUGUGCCCAGGUCCUAGGGGCCCAACAGGGUAUGGCGGUCUCCAUGAGCACACACAGCAGGCUCUGAAACCUGUGAAUGUAGUGUCCCUUGCUCCAAGUCCAGGGCCUCCACCCAGUGCCCUGAAGGCCUGGGGGGGAGGCUGCCUAGAGCACAGCCCUGCCCCGUGAGCGCCGACGAUGCUCUGG
rnacentral:lncRNA from 1 species